UGAAGUUAAUAAAUAAAACAAACUACGAAAAAGCUAAUACAUACAACUUCAAUGGUACAAUUCACAUUUUGUUUGUAUUCUUUCUCGAGUUUUAAAUACACUCUCAUAGAAUAAAAUUAAAAAUAUAUAUAUAUAUAUAUAUAGAAGAGAAAAACUGCGAUAAAAUUAAUUGUACGACGCAAUAACUUUCAUACGGUGAAUUAAGAUAAUGACGACUUAAAUUAAUUACCACCAUGAUGCAACAGAGAAGUAAUGGUCCAAAAAUAGCACCUUCGACACCCAGACAAAAUAUUCCACCGGCUAUGGACAAACCGUUGCAGGAAUGCAAGCUAUGUAUGCAUCCAGGAAAGGUACUGCACCUAACACCGUAGCAAAUGCCGAUGGUAAAUAUAUUAUUUUAACU